rnacentral:lncRNA from 1 species
GUUUGGCUUCUUCCUCUAAGUGAAUCCUGUGUUGAACUAUGAAAGGGCUUAUUCCCUUAAUAUCAACCAUGGUCCAGCCUAUUGCUUCACGAUUCUUUUUCAGAAUUUCUAGCAACUCCUCUUCUUGUUUAGAAUUUAGGUCAGAUGCGAUAAUUACAGGCAAGGUUUCUUCUAGACCUAAAUAUGCAUAUUUAAGGUGUUUGGGGAGGGAUU